rnacentral:rRNA from 1 species
AGCGAACGCUGGCGGCAGGCCUAACACAUGCAAGUCGAACGAACUCUUCGGAGUUAGUGGCGGACGGGUGAGUAACACGUGGGAACGUACCUUUAGGUUCGGAAUAACUCAGGGAAACUUGUGCUAAUACCGAAUGUGCCCUUCGGGGGAAAGAUUUAUCGCCUUUAGGGCGGCCCGCGUCUGAUUAGCUAGUUGGUGAGGUAAAGGCCCACCAAGGCGACGAUCAGUAGCUGGUCUGAGAGGAUGAUCAGCCACAUUGGGACUGAGACGCGGCCCAAACUCCUACGGGAGGCAGCAGUGGGGAAUCUUGCGCAAUGGGCGAAAGCCUGACGCAGCCAUGCCGCGUGAAUGAUGAAGGUCUUAGGAUUGUAAAAUUCUUUCACCGGGGACGAUAAUGACGGUACCCGGAGAAGAAGCCCCGGCUAACUUCGUGCCAGCAGCCGCAGUAA